GAUGAAGAACAUAGCAAAAUGCGAUAAGUAAUAUGAAUUGCAGAAUUCAGUGAAUCAUCGAAUCUUUGAACGCACAUUGCGCCCGCCAGUAUUCUGGCGGGCAUGCCUGUUCGAGCGUCAUUUCAACCCUCAAGCACAGCUUGGUGUUGGGACUCGCGUUAAUUCGCGUUCCCCAAAUUGAUUGGCGGUCACGUCGAGCUUCCAUAGCGUAGUAGUAAAACCCUCGUUACUGGUAAUCGUCGCGGCCACGCCGUUAAACCCCAACUUCUGAAUGUUGACCUCGGAUCAGGUAGGAAUACCCGCUGAACUUAAGCAUAUCAAUAAGCGGAGGA
rnacentral:misc_RNA from 1 species